UACCUGUUUGGUUUUGAUCUGGUUUUAUGGC
rnacentral:piRNA from 1 species